rnacentral:lncRNA from 1 species
AAUUAUUUCUUUCCUAUUUUAGAAAGGAGCAGUCUGCAUCUGUAACACCCCAGACUUUAGACAGAGUCCCACAUCGGCAAAACACAAAAGUGGUAUCUAUCACAACCCAAAACUCCCUCCGUAAAACGUCGUGACGGUACCUACUCUCUAAAACUAGCUAAGCCUAUCAAAUGCAGAAAUAACAAAAAUGGAAGUAAAACUUAAUAACUAACUGCAACAUAUAACUAAAUAACUGGUAGAAAUGACCGCUCGGUAUGUACAAUAACCAACACUCUAGUAAUACACAGUAUUCCCAAAAUCUGAAACAUCAUAAGUCACAAGCUACAGGAGGAAACAAAUAUCUCUAUACACCAGAGUCUAAUAAAAGAAGUACAUAAGGUAAUUGACAUAGGGGAGAAUAGAAGGGGACUCUGAGGUCUGCGGACGCAGCAGAUGUACCUUGAAGUCUCCGUAUAACAGUAAGCACUCUCAGCUAAUAGAGGGGCUGAUAAGAAGUACCUGGAUCUGCACACAAAAACAUGUGCAGAAAAGUAGCAUAAGUACACCACAACGGUACCCAGUAAGUGCCAAACCUAACCUCGGUCGAGUAGUGACGAGGUCAGGUCAGGCCCACUGGUAUAUAAUAAAUAAUGCAGGGGAAUAUAACAGUAUAUUAAAAGGAAAACACAGCAAAAAUAGCAGAACAACACACAGGGGGUCAACAAUACGGGAUCUCCCGAGAUACCAUCUCGUAGUCCCAAAGUAAAUAACAAAGACAAUCUCCCAACGUACCGCCAAGUAAAUAUGCAGGGAGAACUCCCGAGGAACCGCCUCGUAGUCUCAAAAGUAAACACAUAGCUAAAAUCGAUAAAUACAAUAAUUAAUAGUGAUAAUGCUAUAGUUAAGACUAAUAAAGAACAAGGAAAAAUAGGAAAUCAACUAGGCAUGCUGCACAUAGUUCGAGUAAGCAGUUAAAGAACGUAGACAUGCGAUAUUAGACUAAAUAGGAUAACUACACAUGUUGGUAUAACUCACUUAAGAAUGAAAGUAGGUUACUACUCAAUAAAAAUUCGGGUUUUUCCACAAUAGCCCGUGUACGCACCCGUCACCUCACGUACACGGCGCUCACAUAUCACAAUAGUGCCAAAUCCUAAGGGGAUUUGUCCCACACAAGGUUAGGCAAGCCACUUACCUCGAACCAAGCUCAAUCACUCAGCAAGAAUGCCCUUUCCUCGAUUAUCCGACUCUAAAUGGCACAAAUCUAGCCAAAAACAAUUACAUAUCAAAAAUACAACUAUAAUAGACUAAUCUAAUUAAUAAAAUCAAGACUUUAACAAAAAUUUCGAAAAUUUUCCAAAAAGGUCGACCUGGGCCCACGUAUCAGAAUCAGAUAAGAAACACAAAAUAUGAACACCCAUUCACUCACGAGUUCACUCGUACCAAAAUUUCCCAAAUUCGAUAUCAAAAUCCCAAUAAAAACUCAAAAACUUAGUUCAAGAACUUCUCCCAUUUUUCCCAAAUUUCUCAACCAAAUUCCUUAAUUAAAUGAUGGAAUCAACUAUAGAUUAGUAGAAUAUAACCUUAAAUGAGUUAAGAAUCAUUACGAAAAAGUUCUUUCUGAAAAAUCCUUGAAUUAUCGCCUCAAUCAGAGCUCUCAAAGACCCAAAAUGAAAAUGAGAUCAAACCCUCGAAAUUUUCCCUUUUCUGCUCAGCGAUCUCGCACCUGCGGACCUCUAGUCGCACCUAUGGAAAUUCCAUCGUAGGUGCGGAAAUGACAUAAGAGGGAUGGGUUUGUUUCUGCGAUGAGGUGGCCACACCUGCACAUCUGCUUUUGCGAGACUCUGACCGCUUCUGCGAUCCCGGCUGGGCAGGCCCAUAAUCGACCCACUUCUGCGGUGCCGCACCUACGGCCCAAAAUGCGUAGGUGCGAUUACACUAGGUGCAGCAACUUCAGCCAAUCCAACACAUUUCCAAAUGAUCUGUUAACCACUCGAAAUCAACCUGAGGCCCCCGAGACCUCAACCAAACAUACCAACAAGUCCUAAAACAUCAUACAAAAUUUGUCGAGCCCUUAAAUCAUAUCGAACAACAACAAAAGCACGAAUCACACUCCAAAUCAAAAUUAAUGAACUUGGAACUUCAAACUUCCACAACCGAUGCCAAAGCCUAUAAAAUCACGUCCGAUUGACCUCAAAUUUUGCACACAAGUCAUAAUUGACAUUUCAUACCUACUCCAACUUCCGCAAUCAGAAUCCGAGCCCGAUAUCAAAAAGUACACUAGCGGUCAAACUUCCCAAAAAUUUGACUUUCGCCAUUUCAAGCCUAAAUCGGCUACAGACCUCUAAUUCAUGUUCCAGACACUCUCCUAAGUCCAAAUUCACCCAACGGAGCUAACGGAACCUGCGAAACUCCAUUCCAGAGUCAUCUUCUCAUAGUUCCAACUAUGGUAAAAAAUCCUAAGAUUUAAGCUUCUGGUUUAGGGAUUAAGUAUCCCAAAACACUCUGAAACCACGAACAACACCUCCCGUCAAGUCACAUAAGCAGAAAAUGAUACGGAGGAAGCAGUAAAUAGGGGAUCAAGGCUAUUACUCUUAAAAUGAUUGGUCGGGUCGCUACAGUAUCAAAGCCCUCUUGUAUUUUGGCGAUGUGGGACCCUGUCUAAUGUAUGGGGUGUUAUAUAAACCCCUUCUUAUGGACUCAAUAUCCUUGCUGAGGUUUUCCCCACCGCAUGGGAUUCGCCUACACUCAGCACUGAGGUUUGCCCCGCUUAAUCGAGAUUUGCCUAAAUUAAGUUGAACUCUGACCCAACAUCUGCAAUGCUGACACAAGAGUGGCUCUGAUACCAUUUGUAACAAACCACCCACUAGUGAUAUUGUCCACUCUGGGUAUAGGCCCCCAUGGGUUUAAAACGUGUCACUAAGGUCUAAGGCUUCUUAACUUAUAUACCCAGCAUCCCUUUUGUGUUUUGCCGAUUUGGGACUCUAUCUAAAGUCUGGGUAGUUACAUACACCCCUUCUUAUGGACUUAGCAUCCUCGCUGAGGUUCCCCACCGCAUGGGAUUUUCUUAGACUCAGCACUGAGGUGUGCCCCACCUAACCGGGAUUUGCCAAAACUCAGUUGAACUCUGAUCCACCAUUAACAUGGCUAACACAAGAGUGGCUUUGAUACCAUUUGCAGCAAACCAGCCUGCUUAUAAUAUUGUCCGCUCUAGGCCUAGGCCUUAACGAAUUUAAAAUGCAUCACUAGGGUCUAAGGCUUAUUAACUUAUAUACCCAGAAUCACUCUUGUAUUUUGCCUAUGUGGGACUCUGUCUAAUGUCUGGGGUAUUACAACAUCAUUAUGGAAUGGAGAAAAAAAACAAGUUAAAUAAUACAACUGGAAAUUCUGAGUUUUUCAUCUAUGAUUUAUCUUUAGAAUAGAAAACUCACCAAUAACUAAGAAGGGGUGUAGGGGAUGCAUAUACACCAAGAACUCUAUAUAUAUGCACCAAGAACCAUUUCUUGCUUACAAACGCUAUACAAAUUCAUAAACAAAAACUAGAGUUUGAAAAAAGAGAGAAGCAUAAUAGAAUGAGCGCUUCAAGUUCAUCGAACAUUUCCAAUGAAGAUUAUUGGAAAUUAUUUCGUGGAAUGUCAGUCACUGUUAUGAGAAAAAUAUAUUUAGAAAAGAGGGUAUAGAAGCAUAUCUAGGGAUGCACAAACGUCACUUGGUAAUACUGCAAGAGUGUGAAACGCAUAUCAACUGGAAAACUAGCACUAAACAUGAAAACUUGGUGUUACUAUGGGACAAAGAACGCAUCAACUAUGAUAUAUCUUUUAGAUAUCACAAAAAAAAUGCUAGAGGGAUUGACAAAUAUUCAGUUGGUUAAAUAUCCAUCGGUUAAGUUCGAAUUUCAUGUAGUUUAUGGAGAUCUAACAUAUGGUCUAGAUUUAGAACCAUUAAAAUUGAUACCAUAUCCUGAGUCACGUAGUAAGUUAUAUGAUACAUCAUGACCUAUGAUUGGGGGAAGCUAAUCUAACCCGCCCAUCAAAGAGAAGCAUUAGAUCUCUAAAUACAAAAGAGCAGAUGAGUAACUUCAUCAAUUUUAUGGCUAUCCCCGGUAUUUUAGAUUUAGAUUUUAGCCCUUUUACAUAUGGAGAUACAAAAUCACUACUAAGAUUAUCCAAACUUGAUAGGAUAAUCUGCACUUCGAAAUUUUACACUUCAUUUGAACGUGUAACACCAACGAUUCUAGGAAGUGACAUUUCAACCUGUAUGCCGAUAAAGUUGAGGUUGGCACGCCCAGGUAAAGUUGCACAAGUAGAGAAGAAAAAAUUGGUAUCCAAAUAGUCACUAUGUGAGAAUUAAGUCCAAUUGCAGCUGUGUUGGUUUUGUGAAACUACGAGAUUGUCAGUUAUCUUCUCUCCCCCCUCCCUUUUUCAGGGCCAUGAACAGUGUACUUCUAAUAAUGCUUUCAAUUAUGGGUAUUCAUAAGAACCCGAAAAAUCAAACCAAACCAAAAACUGAACCAAACCAAAAAAAAAACCGAUACUUUUUAGGUUUGGCUGGGUUUUGGUUUUGAAUCUUAAAAACCAAUUAAAUUUGGUUUGGUUUUAGUUUUAAUCAAAAAAUAACCGAAAAAACCAAACCAAACUGACUAUAAAAUUAUUUAUUUUGAAUUUAUUAUUAGACCUAUAUAUAUGUAUAUUUUUAUAUAAAAUUUAUAAAAUUUUAUGGUACAUAUUAGUCAUUUGUAUUUUUAGUCUAGUUCAUUGCUAUUAUAAUAAUCUAAUUCUUUGCCUUUACAUUUUAGUUUGAUUGGUAGUUUUGUUUUACCAAUUACAAGAAUUUAUUUCAUGUUAAAAAUAAUCGAUUUUUAAUUGAGUACUUAAAUUCUUUAUCACUAUUUGAUUCGAUAAUCAUCAAUAUAUCUUGAAAAUGAUAGAUUUCUCAAAAUGCAAUUGAUUUGAUAGUGUUACAUUGAAAAUGUAGUCGACGGAAUAUGUGUUUGGUAGUGUAUGUAUGAUAUUUAAGAAACAAACCGAUAAAUAACCGAACACCGACAUAAACCACAUCGAUAAAAACAUACUCAAUUGGUUUGGUUUGGUUCCAAUAUUUGAAAAACCCACUUACUUGGUUUGGUUUCUUUUUAGGAAAAAACUAACUCAAACCGAACUAUGAACACCCCUAGUUGUGUUAUAGCGAGGGCUCAAGUCAAUUUUUCAUAUUUCCAAAAGUGAGCUCUACAGAAAGCUGUAAGCAAAUUUGCAAGUAGAUGAAAACACCGGUUGUGAUAAUAUAUUACCCUCUUAAUAUUGUACCUGAGAAGAUAAAGUUUAAAAAAAGGCAGUAAAGAGAACGAAGGAAGAUCUCAAAUCUUUUACAUUAAAGUUCUAGAGUACUACAAAGUAUCAAAGAAAGGUGAAGAUGUACUUCAUAUGAAGUGGAAUUUAUUUGGUUCCUAUUUUAGAAAGGAGCAGUCUGCAUCUCUAAUACCCCAGACUUUAGACAGAAUCCAACGUCGGCAAAACACAAGAGUGGUAUCACAACCCUCUUGUGUUUUGGCGAUGUGGGACUCUAUCUAAAGCCUGGGGUGUUACAUACACCCCCUCUUAUAGACUCAGUGUCCUCGUUGAGGUUUGCCCCACCGCAUGGGAUUCGCCUACACUCAGCACUGAGUAUUGCCCCGCCUAACUGAGAUUUUCCUAAAUUAAAUUGAACUCUGACCCAACAUCGGCAAGGCUGACACACGAGUGACUUUGAUACCAUUUGUAAAAGACCAACCCGCUAGUGAUAUUGUCCGCUCUGGGCUAGGCCCUCACGGGUUUAAAAUGCAUCACUAAGGUCUAAGGAUUGUUAACUUAUAUACCCAGUAUCCCUCUUAUGAUUUGCCGAUGUGGAACUUUAUCUAAAGUCUGGGAUGUUACAUACACCCCGUCUUAUGGACUCAGCGUCCUCACUGAGGUUUUCCCCUCCACAUGGGAUUCGCCUAGACUCAGCAUUGAGGUUUGCCCCGCCUAACUAGGAUUCGCCUAAACUCAGUUGAACUCUGACACACCAUUAACAUGGCUGACACAAGAGUGGCUUUGAUACCAUUUGUAGCAGACCAGCCCGCUAGUGAUAUUGUCUACUCCGGGCCUAGGCCUUCACAGAUUUAAAAUGCGUAACUAGGGUCUAAGAUUUAUUAACUUACAUACCCAGCAUCACUCUUGUGUUUUGCCGAUGUGGGACUCUUUCUAAUGUUUGGGAUGUUACAACAUCAUAUUUUUAUAUAAAGUUUAUAAAAUUUUAUGGUACAUAUUAGUCAUUUGUAUUUUUAGUCUAGUUCUUUGCUAUUAUAAUAAUCUAAUUCUUUGCCUUUAAAUUCUAGUUUGAUUGGUAGUUUUCUUUUACUAAUUACAAAAAUUUAUUUCAUGUUAAAAAUAAACGAUUUUUAAUUGAGUACUUAAAUUCUUCUUCACUAUUUGAUUCGAUUAUCAUCAAUAUAUCUCAAAAAUGAUAGAUUUCUCAAAGAGCAAUUGAUUUGAUAGUGUUACAUUGAAAAUGUAGUCGCCUAAAUAUGCGUUUGGUAGUGUAUGUCUCAUAUUUAAGAAAAGAAACCGAUAAAUAACAAAAAAAACCGAAAAACCUUUUGGUCGCUUGAGUCCAAAAAUACCAUACUUUUUUUCCGGGCUCGGGAGUAUUCAAUGGCUGUGAUCAUAGGAAUGGUCAGGUUUUCGGAUUUCCUCAGCUGAGCUCUGCAGAAAGCUGUAAGGAGAGUUGAACUGAAACUAGAAAUGGUAGCUACAUUUUGUUUGGUUACAGGGGCAGAAAAAUAAUUCGGAUAUAAAAUUAGAGAUUAUUUUAUCCAGCGUUUGAAUAGGAUUUCAUUUUUGAAAACAGAACAAAGACCCAUUUGUCCAUAAAAUAUUGUCCUUUUUUCCAUCCGAUUUUAGGGAAUUCAUUGGAUCGUGAAGUUGCUUCACACCUGGCCAUAUCGAGGGAAUGAUAAUGAACUUGUCCCUAAAAAAAGAGAAAAGAUCUAGAAUGGGAGAGGAUGAUCAUUGAGAAAGAUACCUUAACAAGUUGGUCAUCUGUCAGGACUAGAAUGUGAGUUCUUCUUAUUAUUAGUGAGUUGUUGCCCCUCAUACUCUUCUUUCCGAUUUUGGCUCGCUCUACUUAUCUAAUGUAACCCCCAAUCUUCCUUCAUACGAAGGCAUUGUAACAUAUAUAUCAAAUAAAAGAUUCUACUAAUCUUCAAAAUAUUGUUUGGUUAUACAUUUAACUGAAAUUUUGAAGAUGAGAUUUAAAUUUCAAAAAAUGGAAUUUAGAUGCAAUCUGAAAUGCUAUCUUCUAAAUUCAUAAUGAUGUCUAAAGACCACCAGUUAGAUGCAUUGAAACAAGACAAAUAAGUCAUUUCCAGAAUCAUACAAAAGCUAAUUUCCUACAUCAUCAGAAUCUACACAUAAAAGCAAGGGGAACUCUAAGGAAUCGUUUGGUUUGAAGACUAGUUAUUCUUGUAUUAUUUCUUAUUGAUUGUUUGAUAUGUUAUAUUAAUCCUAAGAUUAUCAAUUUUAUUAUUUUAUCCUGGGAGAACUUAUCCUGAGAUUAUUAUUCCACAAUCUGAUAGUUAUAAAUUAUCCCGGUAUUAUUUUUAGUCCUGGGAUAACUUAUCCCAGGAUUAGUAACCAAACAAGAGAUAAGGCAAUACUAUAUUUUUAUCCCGAAAUUUUAUUUAUCCAUCAUACCAAAUGACCCCUAAGGAGAAUCUAAAGAUAAUUAAAGUCCUUGAAAACUUGAGGAGGAUGUACAACAUGCAAUAAUAGAACAAAGAAACAAAUUGUUUGCUGCUAGAAAAAAAUAAAAUUCCAAAAAUCCAACUAACUGAAAUCAACAAGAUUUAUAGACUUGUUGCUUCGCUUUCAAUGACCAUCAUUGAGGUACCACCAUGUUCAUCAUCUCACUCUAAUUCACUGGAGGAAUCUCCUCAUGCAACAAAAGCUUGUUUCACAACAUUGUCAUCAAUAUCUUUUCUCUUGAAUCUUCUGUCAGGAACCGGGUUCCUCUUGGCUGCUUUGCCUGUGUUAUGCUUGUAAUGAUCUUUCUUGUACAAAGGACAACCUUUGAUGAAAUAUCCUGAAUUUCCACAUAUAUGAUACAAGUCAUAGCCUUUUGAUCUGCUGGAGCUACCCCUUUUUGGAAUGCCUCCAUUUUUGCGCAACAUUUUAUGGAAUCUUUUUGUUAGAUAGGCCAUGUCAGCAUCUUUGUCUCUUAAGUAAAUAUUGUCAGCCUUGAGGACUAGGUUCUUCUCCCUUUUGGGUUCUCUUCUUUCAUGGUCCUUCUUUUUCUUCAUUUCAUACAUCUUCAGAUUUCCAAUGAGUUCAUCAAUGGUCAACUUUUGUAGAUCCUUUGUCUUUGUGAUAGCAUUGACCUUUCUUUCUCAGGAACCAGGUAGUACACUAAGUAUUUUCUUGACAAGUUUGUUCCUUGAAAUGAUUUCUCCCAAAGAGUUGAGCUCAUUGAUGAUGGAGGUGAAUCGAGUGUGCAUAUCCUGAAUGGACUCAUCAUCCUUCAUCAUGAAGAAUUCAUACUCAGUGGUGAGCAUGUCAAUCUUCGACUGCUUGACUUGAGUUGUUCCUUCGUGCGCUGUUUGGAGAGCUUCCCAGAUCUCCUUGGCUUAUUGACAGGCAGAGAUCCUGUUGUAUUCGUCUAGUCCAAUACUACAGACAAGGAUCUUUUUUGCUCGAACGUUCUUCUCUAUAGCUUUGCGUUCAACAUCAUUGUACUCCUUCCUUGUCUUGGGAGCUGUCACUGCUGGUUCAUCAAUGCUCUUCAUAGGGACGAAGGGUCCAUCACAGAUAACAUCCCAGAGCUCUAAAUCUUCAGCCAUAAUAAAAUCAUGCAUCCUUGUAUUCCAUUAUUCGUAGUAUUGUCCAUUGAACUUUGGUGAUCUAUAGGUAGAUUGACCUUCUUCAAAGUUUGGUGGAGCAGUCAUGAGGAUCCUUUCUAGGUGUUAGCCUGAUAGAAAGAACCUGCUCUGAUACCAAUUGAUAGAAACAUAAGAGUCCACCAAACUAUAUAGAGAACCUAGUUCUCUAUCAGUUCCCACACAAUACACACAAAUAAAGAUAAGUAAAUGACACAUCAGAGUUUUACGUGGAAAACUCCCAGCUCACGCAAUUAAAAACCACGACAUACAGUUGUAGGAUUCCAACAUCACUACUGAGCAAACUUCAGAUACAAACUUUUGUAACCUAGGAAUUAAACUCUUAAUCCCCCACUCACUUGUAAUAACUCUAUUACAAGCCUGUUUGUAAUAACUCUGUUACAAAGCUCACAACUCGCCCAACUCUAGCCAAGACACAAACAUAAGGUUUGUGGUUUUACAACAGAUUUCCUACGCAAUGCUUCUAGCUAAGCUAAGUAGGAAUUACAAGUAGAUUGCUCUAACAAAGGUACAACACAACGAAGGACAUAUGGUAAUGCAGUGAUGGAAACUGGUCCUUGUUCUGUUGUUCUUCGUUCUUGAAAGCUGGAAGCCACUUGCAGAUGGGAACACACUAAGAGAGAAGCUUGAUAAUUUUCUAAGUGUUCAAGUGACUUGUUUUCUCUUGCAUCAUGUUGAUAAUAUACAAGUGACGUCACUUGGAUGAUGAAAGCAAUUAUCCGGUACUCAUAAAGUGACUCCUGCACUAUUUGCACUGUUGUGUGUGUGCAGAGGAACAGUUGCAGUGACUUUAUAGCUUUGGGGAGUUGACUGGUAUAGUCAGCAAGAGAACUGAUGUCCAUCUGUUCCCUCUGUUAUUUCUUUGACUCUGAUUGUUGGAACUUGUGCCCGACUUGAGACUUGUUGUUCUGAGGAUGUGUAACAGGUUCCCCAUCUGGUUCUUAUUAUUAUGUUUGUUAGAUCAUCAAAAUAAAACAGGGCACAUAACCUAUUAGAAAACAUAUUGUAGUAUCUUGUAUUUAGUGUUGAAUUUGUUUUUCUUUAUCUUUUCUAAGUUAAUGAACAAUAAUUUAGUAAUAGUAUAUAGAACUUAGAGGGGGGGGGGGGGGGGAUAAGAUAUUCCAUUGGCAAGAAGCCAAUCAUCUUCUUUAUCCUUGUAUCUAAGUUUAUAAGCAUUAUCAUUUUCUUGACAUGUAUAAAAUAAGUAAUUCACCAAAAAAAAUUCCAAAAUAGUAAUAAAAAACUCCAAAGAUCACUUCAGCAAAGUAGCAAACAUCUAUCGAUUCAACGACAGUGACUGAGACUCUGCAUGGAUUGCUUGAUAGACCUUUAAUCUUGAUCUUAUUUGACAAAGUUUUUUAUAUUUUUGUACAUCCUUUCGAUCUCUGACUCAUAUUCAUGAAAUUUUCAAGGAGUUAGCGCGCCAAAUUUUAUCGUUAUUAGCUGACAUAUCUGUAUUAAAGAUAGUGGUGCCCCCAUUGCCCUCAAAUCCUGAGUCUGCCUUUGUACACUAGAGCUAUGAUAACCACAUAAAUGACAUGUUUUGAGCCACAAGUUUUACCAUUCUUCAUGUUUUUCUUACUCCAUUCCGUUUCAAAUUUUCACAUAAAUUGAAGCAAAGCGAGUAGCAGAUUAACUAAUUAUAACAGUACAGGGCAAGCAUGCCUUGAUGUCUAUGGCAUUCUAGUACGUGCCAUAGGGGGAUUUACCAAAACGGGCUCAGCGGAUACCUUCACCGAUAUUUUUUAAUUUGAGCGGUUGGAUGAGCGGCUAUUUGGGAUAAUUCUUCUAAGGAAAACUAAGAGAAACUACAGCAAUACAAAGAUAAAGUAGCAUAAAAACAGACCCCAAGGCUGGAAGACGAAAGGCAUUAAAUGCAAAUAAAUUGAGUUUUUCGUCCAUUCAAGCCAGAGCACACACAUGAAUGCUGCAACAAUACAAAUCCUUAGAGCACAAAACAAAAAAUUUAAAUUCCAAUGGUACCCUUGCAGCUAGUAAGCAUGCUUAUCAUGAGGUGACUAGUUUUCAUUUAUAAGAAGGCAUUAUACAAUAAUGGAGAAAUUUGUCAAAAAAUUAUCCCUUUCCAUUUUACGCCAUCUGUGUCAUAUAAAGAUGGAAAAUAUGUCAAGAACAGGUUAAUCCCUUAAGACAUCACUAAUACCACAUUAGGUCCUCACAUUUCUGUCGUCAGAGAUCUAAACUGGUUAAUCCCUUAAGUCUUGACAUGUAGAGAAGGUUUCAUCAACUAAAAAGUCGAUCACCAUAAGUAAAAAUGAUUUUUUUUUGUUUGGGGGGGCACAUCUCGACAACUCGUUUUCUAUUUCCAUUUCUAAUAACUACUAGACCAACUAUUUCACUCUCAUAUUCACCUAAUUGAUAGUUCUUUGAUUUUUGCAUCCCUAAUGUAUGUACUACUUUUAACUCAUACCCUUAUCCUUUUAUUUUUUUUGAAUUACCGCCUAAUCAAUUCAUUUCUUUUAGGGAGGAAUAGCAGUUUUUCUCCCUGUGUUAAUUUAGGGUAGCACAUUUAAACUUUAAGUAAACAAAAUGACUGCUUAUAUUCAUUUUUCUAACAGGGACUAACAGUCCAAACCAAAUGUUUACUACUGAAAACGGCUUUUGGGUAUAACAACUAGAACACUUUUAAAAAGACCUAAUUAUUCGAAGAGGAAACAAUUAGAGCUCUUUCCACGGUUAAUUUGGUUUUAUAAAGACUAAAAAAAAAUUUGAUUGAAUAAGUGAUCCAUUACUUUGUCACUGGUAUCGCAGAGUUCAGAAAUUCCAACACCAACCACAAGGAUUCGUGAUUUUAGUUUUAAUGCAUUAAUCCACAGUUGCAGUUUAAGGUUAAAAUUUCAAUUUCAUUCCUCGGGGAACUUCUUUCUUUCUCUUCCUUUAUUUUAUAAUUGACAAAAAAAUAGUUCAUAUUUUGCACCUUGAAAACUGAACUCUUUCACAAUUUUGCAAAUAUAUGAAUCUAUUAAGGAGUAAAUUGUAAAAUAAAAAAAGGAUUAGGUGUGAAUCAAAAAGUAACGGAUAGGUUAAGGGUAUAAAAUUCAAAUAACUCCCUAUUUGAUCACCCAACAUUUGUAAACUUUGCACCUUAGAAGACAUGUAGCAAAUGUAUGCAAGAACUGAAUAUAUUUAGCUGUAGUUUUAAAUCCAGACGACAUACCUUUGCCCGCUGCGUGCUCCCAAUAGUAAUGUAUGCUAUAGACACGAAGACCAUCUCCUCCUCUAUUCCACUCUUUAGCAAGCCCAACAGGCAAUCAAGGACGUUACGUUUAGCAAUGCUCCGGGUUGCGAUCAUCAUCUUACAAAAUUCGGAUCUUCACUUAGUUAGUAGGAAAAAAUAGUCCCACGCAGUCUAAUUUUCAAAUAAGAGGAAUACCCAUUGAGAGCAAAUGCUCUAUAUGUGAAGAGUAACCCGAGGACACAAACCGCCUAUUUCUACAUUGAAAAAUUACUCCUCAAUUGUGGCAUAUGUUUUUCAUCAAUCUGGGCUCAAAAUGGACAAUUCCUAGAGAUAUCUACGAAAGUAAGGCCCCAUUUUGAAGUUUACAAGUACAAUUUUUGAGCGUUGAAGAUGCUUUUCAACCUAAAUAUAGACAACACCAAAUUUUUCUUCUUCCUUUUUUUUUCAUCUUACUUUUUUUUCUUCUUUUAAUCAAGGACAAGUUUCUUAUUACCAGCUUACAUACAUAGAAAUUUUGUCCCAAGAUCUAAAAAGGCCAAGUUAGUGAAUACCAUGUAUAAAAAGACUAAAAAAUAAUGUAGGCAAAAAAUAAAGAAUGCAGCCUAGAUAGCGCUGGAGCUGGGAGGUGGACUUGCCCGUGACGUGAAGAUGAAAAAGAACAUAUUUUUACACCUUCAGUCGAACGAUCUUAUUGUAUGAAGACUUUUUAAAAAUAUUGUGGUGGACAGCUUUACCAAAUGGGUGGGUUCUUGAGAGGCUAUUAGAAAUUAGGUAGUAAACACAUCAAAUUUGACGUUGAAUCAGGAACAUGCUAAAUUAUAAUCUCACUACAUGCUAAAUUGUUCCUUUUUUCAUUGGUUAGUUCAUCAAAGUGUUUUGGUUCAACCACGAAAGGUCCUUAUACACGCGUACCUCUUUUUGGUGCUCAUCUCCCAGCUCGCUAAUACAUAUAACUGUAUGGAUGGCAGGGGGGACCACAAGACACUAAAGACAAGGCACAAAAAGAUGAUCAACACAUCACUGUCUACCUUGAGUUCUCUCUUCAUAGAACUUCAGUAAGUAGAGGAACAAGUUCACCAGAGUCUAGAGCAUCUUCUAGAGCAGUGAUUAUACAUGUGAAUAAAAUUUUUAACGUAAGUGAUAUGCGAGUUCAAGAAAAUCAACAGAAAUGAAGUUGGAGCAGUUCAUACCAUAAUCGAACAAUUUUUGGAGUUGUUUGACCACCAACAACUUCAUCAAAUCGCAAUCACCAUACUUAAGAACAUCAACUAUUGAUGGAACAUCCAACUCUAAAACCAACAAAUCGGUUACCAUUCAAAACCACAUUCAGACUAUCGUUGGAAGCAAAAUACAAUCAGCUUGCUAAUCAACACACCUUCAGUGUAUACAACAUAAUGGGUCUAAAACACACUGGAUCUGAACGCUUAGGGUCAAUCUACCUGGUUUCUUAGAACACAAAAUGUGGGGCUCAUACCUCAGCUACUAAAGUAAAUAAAAGAAAAAGAAAGAGGAGUGAUUGAUGGAAAGAAAAACAAAUUGUGGGCGCCAGUGGUUUGCAAUUGCAAAUUGCAAUGAACCAG